UCACAAAUUUCCUUAAUUCAUACCUUGAUGAGUUACGAGUAGCAGGAUUGGACUCGUUUUGGAUUGGAGCAACGGAUAGCAAUUCUAGCACCUUCGCCUGGACAAAUGGAUCAACGGCAGUAUUCAAGAAUUGGCAUCAUGCUGAAAUCAUAUACCAAAACUGGAACUCUAAUCCACCUUUGAAUACACCGAAUAGACAGGAUUGUGUCUAUAUAAACACAAAUGAUAUUAAAGGUACUUGGAGAACAACACCGGACUGCGGUUCACAAAAAGCAUUCAUUUGUACUGUCAAGUUUAAUCAGCCAGUGUUGACAGUUACUACACCUCAGC